GCCGACCCUUUCAUUUUUAAGCACAUGCGGAAGCAGUUAAAAUCCCCAGACAAUAAAACGAUGGGAUAGAAAAACAGGGUCAUAUUUUUCAUAUUGAAAUUUAUAACCAAACUUUUAUACAAAACACAAAUCAUUUCAUAACUAUUCACAUCAAAAUGAAUUCUCAAAAGAAGAUAGACUCUCAGCCCAUCCAGGCCAUACUCAAGGCCCCUCUCGGGAUUAUCUUCUUCUUCCAAAAUCCUUCUACUCAGGUUUCACCUCCGAGUUCUCCUUCUCAGAUUCCUCCUCAGCUCCUCAACGGGGUCCUGAAAUGUUUUUCCCCAAACUGGGAUGAGACUACGUCUCAGCGAGUUCUACCCCACUAAGCCCGAUUAGUAAACCAUUAUACUAAAGGCUGCCUAUACACGCACAGGGCAGAAGACGUACCUUGGCCUCAUGUCCCACCUGCAAGUCAGUACAAUUCAUAAUAGGCACACAAGCAAUCAUAUUACCGAUCGAAGCAUCGAUCAAAUCGACCUAGUCGAUUACAAGCCAAUAAGACCACUCACGGUCAUUUCCAAUCAGUCAAUCAAUUCACAACAUCAAAUCAAAGCAAUGAUCAAUCAACCACGUCGAUUACAUGUCAGCCUGACCAUUUCCCGGUCAUUCAAGCUAUUGCUAUUCAGACUCAAUUAAUAAAACCAAUCAGCGAGCCACGUGCAUUCUCCGAGGUAAUGCAUUACUUUACCGAGCCCACGUGCCCUUUAAAAUGCCAUUAUGAAUCAGUGAGCCCACGUGCAUUUUCCGAGGUGAUGCAUCAAGUCACCGAGCCCACGUGUCUCUUUUAGAUGCCAAAUGAACUCAUUGGGACCACGUGCAUUCUCCGAGGUAAUGCAUCAAAUUACCGAGCCCACGUGUCCUUUUAGAUGCCAAAUGUACUCAUUAGGACCACGUGCAUUCUCCGAGGUAAUGCAUCAAAUUAUCGAGCCCACGUGUCCUUUUUUAGGAUGCCACACUUAAUCACCGAGCCACAUGCAUUCUCCAAGGCGACAUACUUCGUCACCGAGCCAUGUGCAUUCUCCGAGGUGAUAUAUCUAAUCAUCAAGCCUCGUGCAUUCUCCAAGGCGACGUACUAACCAUCGAGCCACGUGCAUUCUCCGAAGUGAUAUACCAAAUCACCGAGCCACGUGCAUUCUCCGAGAUGAUGUACGAUUCACCGAGCCACGUGCCUUUCAUGAUGAUUCAUCCCAUUUCUAAAGUAAUUACCCACAAUUAAAUCAAUUCAGCACAAAUUAAAGCUCAAUUAAAUAAACGGACUGCGCCACGACGAUCAGCACGAGAUUUCGGUCGUCGACCAUCUCAAACUUAAUUUCCGAAAAAUAAAUAAAUAAAUAAUUAAUUUCGAAAAUUAAUUAUUAAAUAUUAAAAAUUCCGUUUAGCUCAAAUUAAGGUCCAAUUAAAUAAACGGACUUCACCACGAUCAUCAGCAUAAUUUUCCGGUCACGGGCCAUCUCAGUUAAAUUUUCGGAAAAUAAAUAAUUAAUUAAUUAAUUUCGAGAAUUAAAAAUUAAUUAUAAUAAAUCCAAUUUAGCUCAAAUUGGUGCUCAGUUAAAUAAACGGACUUCACCACAGUCAUCAGCAUAAAAUUCUGGCUCCGGAUCAUCUCAGUUGAAUUUUCGGGAAAUAAAUAAUUAUUUAAUUUAAUUCUGAAAAUUAAUAUUUAAAUACCAAUAAUCCCACUUAGGCCCGAAUCGCCAAAUUGAAGCCCGAUUAGGGGUCAGAAAAUUCCCGAGAUACUUCCAAUAAAUAGUAGACCACGUCCACUUGCUAAUUGCGCAAUCAAUUUAUCUAAAUCGCAUCACAAUUGACUAAUAAUUGCUAAUUUAUUCUAAUCUAACAACCUAAACAUAAUUAAUUAAAACUAAACCAACCUUAAGCAUAAUUAGCCAACUAAUCCAAGAUUAGUGAGAUUACUCACCAAAUCGCGCGCAAAUCGGAUCAAUCCGACGGCGGCGACGCGAGGAACAACAAACUCCAAAGCGACUCGCGGAUCCCGGGGCCCGGAAACGGCCCAAAAGCGGGCCCGAAGCUGCUGAAACCCACUCCGUGGGUCUUGCUGGUCGGGGCUGAACGGAGCCGCUCCGGCGGCUAGGGCGGCGAGGGGAAGCCGGCGGAGGGCGAGGGGGUUGCGGGGGUGGUCCGGCGAGGUUGGGCGGUGGCCGGAGGUGGCCGGACGGAGCUAGAACAGGAGCGAACAGAGCUGGGUCCGCUCGGGGGAAGCGCUGCAGCGAGCGACGGACGGCGGGACGGUGGGCGCACGGGCGGGCAGAUGUCGCGGGCGUGCGAGCGGCGGUGCGGCGGCGGGACGGGCGGCGACGGUGCA
rnacentral:lncRNA from 1 species